rnacentral:rRNA from 1 species
GAUGAACGCUGGCGGCGUGCCUAAUACAUGCAAGUCGAGCGAACAGAUGAGGAGCUUGCUCCUCUGACGUUAGCGGCGGACGGGUGAGUAACACGUGGAUAACCUACCUAUAAGACUGGGAUAACUUCGGGAAACCGGAGCUAAUACCGGAUAAUAUAUUGAACCGCAUGGUUCAAUAGUGAAAGACGGUUUUGCUGUCACUUAUAGAUGGAUCCGCGCCGCAUUAGCUAGUUGGUAACGUAACGGCUUACCAAGGCAACGAUGCGUAGCCGACCUGAGAGGGUGAUCGGCCACACUGGAACUGAGACACGGUCCAGACUCCUACGGGAGGCAGCAGUAGGGAAUCUUCCGCAAUGGGCGAAAGCCUGACGGAGCAACGCCGCGUGAGUGAUGAAGGUCUUCGGAUCGUAAAACUCUGUUAUUAGGGAAGAACAAAUGUGUAAGUAACUAUGCACGUCUUGACGGUACCUAAUCAGAAAGCCACGGCUAACUACGUG